rnacentral:misc_RNA from 1 species
AGUCGUAACAAGGUCUCCGUAGGUGAACCUGCGGAGGGAUCAUUAACGUUUAAUACCAUAACCAAGACGGCGGCCGGCCUCUAUUUUAUAGGGCUAGCUGCUGUUUUGUACACCUGUGAAUUGUUUAAGUCUUAGCCAGUAUGGUUUCUAACCAUGUUUGGCCUAUUCGUACCCACCUAUACCUAUGUCUGAUUUAAAAUUUAGCCAUAUUGCUUUUUAAGUGAUUUUGGCCUAAUCAAAUACAACUGUUAGCAACGGAUCUCUAGGCUCUC